CUGUAUUUGUUUCCGGUUUUCUUCAGCUCGCUACGAUUCGUUCAGUACCUUCCAACAACCACAAAAAAAAUUUAGUGUUCACCUCAGAUAGUAUCCAGUUUCUGGUGUUCUCUAAUGCUGAUGUUAGAGCAUGACAGAAAGAGAGAUAAGAAGAUGAGGAAGAUGAGAAGCUCCUAAAAGAAAAGGCAAACUCGGGUGAACGGGUCAGGAAACGUUGGGCCAUAUAAGUCGUCAACUUUUGAGCUGUUCGAUCAGAUAGAGUACAAAUCUAGCAGAAGUUUAUCAACUAAAUGAUGCACAAGUUUCUCAGUACAUGGUGAUAAUGAAAUCUCUAUUAAUUACACUCAUGACUAAUCUAGCAGAAGUUUAUAUCUAAAAACAAGAUGAGACAUGCAUAUGCAUACCUUAUUUGGAAAAUUACUGAUAGCUGCUUUCAGAGAUUUCAGAAAUGGUGAUUCGUUGAGCAGGAGAGGAAGGAGAUACUGCUUAAAUAGCACAUAGGAAACUUCGUGGUUAGUGGUUCGUGACCCAAAAAAAAAAAAAAGUAAACAAAUUCAAACAAAAUUUCUCCGGAAGUUCCUCAUAUAAAGUCGAUGCGGAACCUAAACGUAUAUUUGUUAUGCGUGUAAUUUUGGGGAUUUUUGGGGUUGCUAAUAAAACGUGUGUAAGAGAAGUAAAAUUAACAGAGGCUGUUUUUAAUUAUGUUGUUUCCAACUA